UGAAUAAGUAUUAGUAAAAUUGUAGUUUAUAAUGACAAUUCUUUUCAAUUGUUUCUGAUAACCCUAGGAGACUUUCCUCCAAAAUGCAUCUCCCUCUUAUCCAGUUCCUUCUUUAAUAGCACAGCGUUUCCCUUCCCUCUGAAUAUUCCUCAAUUCAUCAUAUCGACCACCUGUGCCCUAAAUGGAGCAUAACAAUUAGCCUUUGCCCCAAUUCCAUCCCACUGCCACUCUCAAUAGCAGUUUCCCUUCCCCAUUUGCGAAUCUCAGUUCUCAGUCAUGUAUGCAUUGUCUGUUAUACCAUAUUUUCACCUAGUAUCAUUGUGCAAACGGUUUCUGUAUUUUGCUAGAAUCACCGUGGCUCCAUGUACCUACACGCUCUGCCUAGGAUCUCUUCACUACUCUUAGCCUAGGGUUUCUCUCCACAGCGACUAGCGUGUCACAGAUUUCUCAUGCAAUUAUGGCUCAGUGGAAUACGAUGUCAAAUCCGAGAUGACAAGGGAAUGGAGUUUUUGCAUCCAGUUGCCCAUACAAAAAGCAGAAUGUACUGAAUGGAAGUGAUAAAGAUUUCUAGAUAAAUGUGAAAGGCCCAUAGGAACAAAGAUUUUGCUAAACAGGUACAAGUUGAGAGGUAACAUUAUUAAUUAGGAGCUUCAAAUUGGGGUACAACGAUGGGAUGACAGUAUCUUGGUUAGGGUUUUCUGCCAAUAUGUAUUAGGUGCUGUUUUGGUUGGAACACAACAGAAAUUGUACCUUGGGUUGGGAUACUCGCAUAGUCUUGGAGGAAGCAGAAGGCAGUUUGUGAUGCUUGGGUGCAUCUACCAACAAUAACAGACAAGAACACUCUUGUUUGAUUUAAGACUUUGCCGUUCUAGUUUUUUUUUUUUAUUUCGUUUUAAAUUUAUGAAUUCCCUGUAAGGAAAAUUCUAAUUGAUGGAGUGAUGAAUCCAGUAUUAAUAAUUGAUAAUUUAAAAAAUUA